UAGCGACGAAAAAACAGUAUCACCCACCUCUGCAGUUGCACUAUACGCUAUAUGGAGAGUUUUAGCCUCUUUUAACUCAUUGUUUUGGUUUUACGGUCUGGAUCUUGAGACCAAAACAGGGCAAUGAAGAGAAUGAAUGUUGGACUUACAUUCGUCAGGUGGACAGAAACAUCACUUCAAGUGAAUGCUAAUGUUGGUCUGCGGCUGUAAGCACUCGUUUACCAUAGCAACUUUACAAGGUGAUAAUAUGUAAAUGCUGUGUUUACAGCUUGUUCUGCUGCCCCCAAGUGGCCAAACAAAAUCAAUGACCUCAGGACCUCGGAAGGUCAAAGUGAAUGGUAGGCAGUAACCAUGACCACUAUUGUUCCCUUACCUUAACCACGGAGUUGCUCAUUUCAUUUGUAUUGGCUGUUUUGGAAGGCCCUGAAAAGAGAUGUACUGACGAGGCUAAAUUACAACUACUCCACAAUCUGGCUUACUCUGGCUUUGUUAGCUCCUUUGUAAAAGGCUGUAGAAACACAAUUAAUCAUGAGCACUAGGAUCGAGUGUCAGGGUCACUGUGCCAUCCUGCUCUUUCUGCCAAGGAAGGCAGAUUCACAUACUGGUACUUUCUUUAUCUUCUAAAGAGCAAAGGAAGUGGCUUUACCUCCAGAAAAGGGAGAAGAAAUAUGUGGCAAUCUUAAUGUUCAUAUCAAAUAUUUGACAAGUAGAAAAUGUGCCCGUUUGUAUGAGCACAUGAUUGUGUAAACACAAGAGUCACAAAGCCGUUUCCCAUAGCCUGGAGGCAGUGUUCUGCUCUGUGUGCCACUCCCAAGAGCCUGGGAGGAGGCCAUGGAAGGAGGGGCCUGACUCCCCUGUCUCAAGCCCACACAGGUGAACUCCUGUUGGGGUGGAAUGCAGCAGGGAGGGGGCCUUGACACACAGAGGUGUGGAGCUUUUAAUUUCAAACAGGGUGGGGAUGAGAUAGAAGGUACAGGAAGGGAGUUAACCCUCUCCGUCACAGCCACUCACCUGGAUAGAGAAGGGAGAGUGUGUGCGUGGGUGGGUGUGUGUGUGUGUGUGCGCACAGAAGCUAAAGGAGGGAUCGAGUCGCAGCACACACAGUCAUAUUCACUCAGUUGGUCUGAGUCUCUCUGUCUCUCCUAUCUCUCUCUCUCGUACACACUUAAAACCUCCUGCACAGACGCAGAAAGACACACACACCCGACUCAGCUGAGUUUGAGGGCAAAUAAGUCAAUAUUUGACCAGACCGGACUGUACAGGAAGGAAGUAACAAAAGACAGAAAAGAAAAUUGGAAGUCUGUCCUUUUCUUCUUGUUGGAACUUUGACACAAGGACUUGAAGAAGUUUUUUUUCUCCAGGUGGAUACAAACUUUUCCCAAACUCUUGGGUCAAACAAAGCAAAAGGGGAAUUAGUUUUUUCUUAUUUAUUGUUGGACUUUUGGACUUGGACUGGGCGAGAGCGCUGUAAGAGGAAGGAGAUGGGGAGAUGGACGUUACAUCUCUCAGUGAGCCUUGGGCUUCUAGCUGUCCUGUUGACCUGCUGCUAUGCUGAAGUGAACUACUGCUUCGCUUCCAGGGCCAAAACUUGCUCUGAAUGCCUGCAGUCUGGGAAAGACUGCGCCUACUGCUCUGAUGAGACCUUUAACGGCCCUCGGUGUGACCUGGACAGCAAUAUACGGCUACACGGCUGCAAUGCUGCUGCUGUAAUCACAGCUAAGAGCAGUAUGAAGAUAGAAGAAGAGCAAAAAAUCAACAUGAGGCUUCAGCAGUCUCAAGUGUCUCCACAAAAGAUGAGCGUGCAGCUUCUUCCAGGAGAGGAGAGGCUGGUGAAUGUAGAGGUGUUUACUCCGACCAGAGGCCCUCUGGACCUUUAUAUUCUUAUGGACUUCUCCAACUCCAUGGCUGACGAUUUGGACAACUUGAAGAGGAUGGGCAAAGAGCUGGCUGUAUUGGUGGAGAAGCUGUCAAAUGACUUCACCAUUGGGUUUGGAAAGUUUGUGGACAAAGUGAUUGAACCCCAGACUGACAUGAGACCCUCCAAACUCGCACAGCCGUGGCCCAACAGCGACCCUCCGUUCUCUUUCCAAAAUGUUAUCAAGCUGACAACAAACUUGGAUUUCUUCAACAGUGAGCUCCAGAAAGAGAGAAUAUCUGGCAACCUGGACGCUCCUGAAGGAGGUUUUGAUGCCAUAUUGCAGGCUGCAGUUUGUGGGGAUAGGAUUGGUUGGCGCGAUAACAGCACACAUCUCCUGGUUUUCUCCACUGAGUCAGCGUUUCACUACGAGGCUGAUGGUGCUAACGUGCUGUCAGGAAUCCUGCCUCGCAACGACGAGCAAUGCCACCUGGACGCAGCUGGCAAAUACACAGAGGAUAUAAACCAGGAUUACCCUUCGAUACCCACACUGGUCCGCCUGCUGGGCAAACACAACAUCAUACCCAUCUUUGCUGUCACCAACCACUCCUACACGUACUACAAGAAACUCCAAGAAUAUUUCCCCAUUGCUGAGGUUGGUCUGCUGCAAGAAGACUCAUCCAAUAUCCUGGAAGUCAUGGGGACUGCCUUUGAGAAUAUCCGUUCUAAGAUGAGCAUCCGUUCAGAGGAGAAACCCAAGGCUUUUGAGACACAGUUCUUGUCCACCAGUGGAAGCAUUGCGCAAUACGGGAAUUUUGAUUUCAAACCUGGAGCAAUAGGCAAGUUCCAGAUGAGGCUCAAAGCCCUGAGAACAAGCGAUGAGACGCCUGUCUGUCAAAUGAAUCCGGAUGAAAAAGCAGGCAUAAUGAGAGUCAAACCUACAACCUUUAAUGCUGCUGUCAGUGUUAAUGCUACGGUUUUGUGUCCAGUCUGCGACUGUGAGAAGACAUCCAUCCCUAAAGCAGCCAGAUGCAACGGCAACGGAGACCUGGUGUGCGGCAAGUGUCAGUGCAGUGAUGGCUGGCUGGGUGCAUUCUGUAACUGCUCAGCAAGUGUUUCAGCUCAGGCCAAAGACCAGUGUAUAGGUCCUGGCUCGAAAGAGCCUUGUUCAGGUCGCGGAGAAUGCCUGGCGUGUGGAACCUGUGUGUGCCACCAGGAACAGUUUGAAGGAGCCUACUGUCAGUAUGACAAGACCCAGUGUCAAAGAUAUGGUGGCUUUCUCUGCAACGACCGUGGCUCUUGCAUUAUGGGUCAGUGUGCUUGUACCGAGGGCUGGGAGGGCAAGGCCUGUGAGUGUCCCAAGAGCAACCAGACCUGUCUGGACAACAAGGGCGGUGUCUGCAACGGGCGCGGUAAAUGUGUGUGCGGCCGCUGUGAGUGUUCACACUCUGCUGUCGAGAUGACUGCAACCUGUGAGCCAAAUUUCCAGGCCCAGUUGGGCGUGUGUGAAGCUACAAGGGGCUGUGUCCAGUGUCAGGCAUGGAAGACCGGAGAGAAGAAAGAUGAAGAGGAGUGUAAAAAGUGCCCCUUCAAAAUUGUCAUGGUGGAUGAACUCAAAGAAUCGAAGAAAGUGCUUGAUUCGUGCAGUUUCCGUGAUGAGGAUGACGACUGUACGUACCACUACACUGUCGAAAACCCCACAGAUCCAACAGUUAAAGACUUGGAGGUUCAAGUGCUCAAAAAGAAAGAUUGUCCUGCUGCUAGCCUCCUGUGGUUGCUCCCACUCCUCUUGUUCCUCUUGUUACUGCUGGCACUUCUGCUGCUCUGCUGCUGGAAAUACUGUGCCUGCUGUAAAACCUGCUGCCAGAGCUGUCUUGCCCUGCUGCCCUGCUGCAGGAGAGGUCGCAUGGUUGGCUUCAAGGAAGAUGAGUAUUUGCUCCGCCAGUCUCUGCUCACCUCAGACCAUCUAGACACACCGAUGGUUAGGACCGGCCCACCCAAAGGAACCGAUGUGGUUCGCUGGAAGGUCACUGAUAACGUACAUCGAGGACCAAACCACCCCCAGGCUCUGAUAAAGCCCAACCCUAAAGAGAUCAUCCAGUUCCCAAUCUCCCUCCGGCUAAACAAGUUGUUCUCUGAGAACCUGUCUCGCCCCGAAUCCAGAGACGCUGAACAGCUCCGCAAGGAAGUGUCUGAUAAUCUAAAUGAGGUGUACAAGCAGAUUCCUGGUGCCCAGAAGGUGCAGAAGACCUCAUUCAGAAUGCAGAGAAAUGCUGGAAAAAGGCAGGACUACGCCAUCAUGGACACAGUAUUGCCUGCUCCACGCGGCAACUACCCUGAUAUUGUCAAACUCACUGAGAAAAAUGUCCAGUCUGGAAACUUAAAUGACCUCAAAGUGGUGCCCGGCUACUACACUGUGGCCACAGACAAAGAGGCUGCUGGAGCCAUAGAGUUCCAAGAAGGUGUGGAGUCAGUAGACGUUCACGUGCCGCUCUUCGUCAAGGAUGAAGACGAUGACAAGAAACAGCUACUGGUGGAGGCCAUGGAUGUGCCACUGGGCAUCGCUGAGAUUGGAAAACGUUUGGUCAACAUCACUAUCAUCAAAGAGCAUGCCACCAGUGUCUUCUCGUUCCUCCAGCCUUUCUACACCUACAGCCGGCAGGACGGGGUGGCCAACAUCCCAAUCAGCAGAGAGAUCAUAGAAGAUGGACGCACACAGGUCACCUACCGCACACGGGACCUCACAGCCAAGGAUAAGAAGGACUACGUGACUGUGGAAGGGGACCUGACAUAUGGUCCUGGUGAAACUCAGAAAACAGUGCCUGUUCGUCUGCUGGAACUGGGCGAGAAAGACGGCCUCCUGGAAGACAAACAGGUCAAGCAGUUUGUCAUGGAUCUCAGUAACCCACGGCAGGGUGCCAAGCUGGGACGCUACCCAAGAACUACGGUCACCAUCGCAGACCAACCAGAACCCAGUGUGAUGAUGUUUAAAAAGGGCGCCCAGAAUUUCACCACAUCUGAUCCAACCUACACCAUCCCUGUGGUCCGCACACGCAACCAGGACAGCCCCGCCACAGUGAAAUGGCGCACCAAGAAGGCCCAGCGCUUUGAGCUUUCCGGCCCACUAAAGUUUGCUCCUGGAGAGACGGAGAAGAACAUAGUGAUCGACCCGAGGGCCCACCCUGGUCCAAUCCAGCCAGAGACCAUCCAGUUGGAGCUGUUUGAGCCAAGUAGCAACGCUUCUAUUGGAGAGAGGAAGACCACCAUUGUCAAUGUCACUGAAGGAGCUCCCAGAUCUCCAGAGGUUGCCCAAAUGCAACAGAAGGGCUACAUAAACCAGAAAGCCACCUCCCCUGGUGGUCACCUUAUCGCCCCAGAUAACCCUAAGGCCAAAGCAACUGGACCCAGAAGCAUCCGCCUCAACUGGGACCCACCGCCUGGUAACCCCAUGGGGUACAAGGUAAAGUACUGGAUCUAUGGUGACCCAGAGAAAGAUGCACAGGUCUUAGAUGUGAAGACUCCUCAAGCUGAGCUGACCAACCUGUACCCCUAUUGUGACUAUGAGAUGCGAGUGUGCGGCUACAAUGCAUUGGGAGAUGGCUACAAUACAGACGUUGUUACCUGUCAAACACUGGAGGAUGUGCCUGGUGAACCUGGACGUCUGGCCUUCAAUGUCAUCAGUCCAACUGUCACUCAGGUCAGCUGGGGAGAGCCUGCAGAGACAAAUGGCAACAUUACAGCUUAUGAAGUCAUCUACACACCCAUCGACGAUGAACAGAAGCCAGCGGGCACCGCUAAGAAAGUAAAGAUUGACAACCCCAAGAAGCGAAUGCUGUUGAUCGAGAACCUGCAGAACGCCCAGACCUACCAGUACAAGGUCCGUGCCAAGAACAGCGUGGGCUGGGGUCCCUUCAGAGAUGCUACCAUCAACCUGGCAUCACAGCCUGCCAGACCUAUGUCCAUUCCCAUCAUUCCAGAUAUCCCUAUUGUGGAUGCAGAGGCUGGAGAUGAGUACGACAGCUACCUGAUGUACAGCAAUGAGGUGUUGAAGUCCCCCACGGGCUCCAAGACACCCAGUGUCUCUGGUGAUGAUUACAUGAUGAAUGGGAAGUGGGACCAGAACUUCCUUUUCCCGGGGGGAUCAGCAACUCGCAACCUGUCAGCAUCGUCCUCUCCUAUGUCCACUCUGAGCUCAAACUACAGAGGGGCAGGCGGAUCCUUCACAGAAACAACCACCACCUACAUGUCCGGACCAGGGAGCUCUCGUAGACAGGACAUGAUCGGAGGAGGAGUGCAGACAUCAGAAGUCAUCAUGAGGAAGCGCUCAGAGAGAGGUUACACAGAUGAAAACAUCCGGGACUCUAUCGUCAUGGGAGAUGUGUCAAGCAAGUUCCCAGAUCUAGGGUUCGGCUACAGUGGGAUGCAGAGCAGCUCUCAGAGCCAGUUCAGCUACAGCCUGUCUCAGGGUUCCAGGGCCAGGACCCAGUCUUCAGACGUCAAUGAAGCCCUAUAUAACCUGGACAGGGUGCUCCAGGAUGCACGGCUUUCCCCCGGUGUUCCGGACACCCCCAGCAGACUGGUGUUUUCUGCUCUGGGUCCCACUGCCCUCAAAGUCAGCUGGCAGGAGCCCCACUGUGAGAAAGACAUCCUGGGCUACUGCGUCCUCUACCAGCUGCUCAAUGGAGGGGACAUGAAGCGUAUUAAUGUGACAAACCCAGCGGAGAACUCAGUGAUCAUCCAGGACCUGCUGCCCAACCAUUCCUACCUGUUCAAGGUGAAGGCUCAGAGCCAGGAGGGCUGGGGUCCAGAGAGAGAGGGAGUCAUCACCAUCGAGUCCGCUGUGGACCCCAAGAGUCCCCUCAGCCCCAUGCCAGGCUCGCCAUUUACUCUGAGCACUCCCAGUGCCCCCGGGCCCCUGGUCUUCACUGCCCUGAGUCCUGACUCCCUGCAGCUCAGCUGGGAGAAACCUCGUAAACCCAACGGAGACAUCCUGGGCUAUGUAGUCACCUGCGAACAGCUGCAUGGUGGAGGAGACGUGCGUUCCUUCCAGGUGAACGGCGACAGUGCUGAGACAAGUCUUACCGUCCCGAACCUGACUGAGAACGUUCCCUACAAGUUCAAAGUUCAGGCUCGAACCACACAGGGCUUCGGCCCCGAGAGGGAGGGCAUCAUCACCAUCGAGUCUCAGGACGGAAGCGCUUUGUCUCAGUACAACAGCCAAUCAUUGUCAAGGAGGGAGGUUUUCCACAUGCCGACAGAGGUCAGCACACGGACCAACGUCUCCCACACGAUGCUCAACGACCCCUACUUCUCAGACGGGAUGAUGAUGACAUCACAGCACACAGAGAGCAGCGGCAUGGUGACCCGUCAAAUUACCAAGGAGGUGGUUCAGCGGAGCGUCAUGGGAGGAACCACCGUCACAAAGAAGAUGUUUUAUGAAUCUUAAGAAUUAACACCCAGAGGUCCAACAUGACGAGGAAUCGUAUCUGAGCUCCUCUUUUAAAAAGCGUCGGCUCCACAGUGCACACACACGAUCAGUGCAUGUUUUUAUACGUGUGUGUGGGUGUGAGAUUCUACAACCAAACACGGUCUUAUGUAAUAAAUAGAUGGAGAGGAGGCCGCUCUGUCCUGCCUGUUACAAACUGUGGCCACUUUCCUCCACAGAUGAGGUUCAUUUUAACAUUUACAUUCAUUUUCACUGUUGCUACUGAUGCAUUCCACUCCAGUUCCUUCCCACUAAGCAGAUCAUUGAGUGUUAGACUCCACUCCCUCUGUCGGUGCAGAUCUGGUAAGACACACUGGGGCUUUAAAUCGGGCCAGCACGGGCCAGUAAUCUGACCGCAGUUCAGUAAUCCAAAGUGACCUUUUCCCCUUGUCUCCUGUCCUCCACCUGACUGUAAGAGACAGUGUGUGUGUGUGGUUGUGUGUGUGUGUGUGUGUGUGUGUGUGGAGA